rnacentral:rRNA from 1 species
UACGUAGGUGGCAAGCGUUGUCCGGAAUUAUUGGGUGUAAAAGCGCGCGCAGGCGGCCUCUUAAGUCUGAUGUGAAAGCCCCCGGCUCAACCGGGGAGGGCCAUUGGAAACUGGGAGGCUUGAGUAUAGGAGAGAAGAGUGGAAUUCCACGUGUAGCGGUGAAAUGCGUAGAGAUGUGGAGGAACACCAGUGGCGAAGGCGACUCUUUGGCCUAUAACUGACGCUGAGGCGCGAAAGCGUGGGGAGCAAACAGG